rnacentral:rRNA from 1 species
UACGUAGGGGGCGAGCGUUGUCCGGAUUUACUGGGCGUAAAGCGCGUGUAGGUGGGGAAGCAAGUCCGGUGGGAAAGCCCGCGGCUCAACCGCGGAAGUUCGCUGGAAACUGCUACUCUUGAGGGUGAUAGAGGGAAGUGGAAUUGCUGGUGUAGCGGUGAAAUGCGUAGAUAUCUGGAGGAACACCUGUGGCGAAGGCGGCCGACUGGGCCGACCCUGACGCUGAGGCGCGAAGGCGUGGGGAGCGAACGGG